rnacentral:ncRNA from 1 species
UACAGAGAGAAGCGAGACCGGAAGGAGAAGCAGAUCCCAAAAAGCCAUCCCCAGUUCGGAUUGCAGUCUGCAACUCGACUGCAUGAAGUUGGAAUCGCUAGUAAUCGCGGAUCAGCCAAGCCGCGGUGAAUACGUUCCCGGGCCUUGUACACACCGCCCGUCACACCAUCCGAGUCGGGUGCUCUCAAAGCCGGAGGCCUAACCGCGAGGAAGGAUCCGCCUAAAGAGUGUCCGGUGAGGAGGGUGAAGUCGUAACAAGGUAGCCGUACGGGAACGUGCGGCUGGAUCACCUCCUUU